rnacentral:rRNA from 1 species
GGAUUAGAUACCCUGGUAGUCCAUGCCGUAAACGUUGGGCACUAGGUGUGGGGGACAUUCCACGUUUUCCGCGCCGUAGCUAACGCAUUAAGUGCCCCGCCUGGGGAGUACGGCCGCAAGGCUAAAACUCAAAGGAAUUGACGGGGGCCCGCACAAGCGGCGGAGCAUGCGGAUUAAUUCGAUGCAACGCGAAGAACCUUACCAAGGCUUGACAUACACCGGAUCGGCUCAGAGAUGAGUUUUCCUCCUUGUGGGGCUGGUGUACAGGUGGUGCAUGGUUGUCGUCAGCUCGUGCCG